GGCACGAUGCACCUUGUCCACUGGAGCAAUCUAGCGAGUAUGAGAGCGUAUCUGCCAUCCUUCUAGUUAACUGGCUGGACUUAACUGUUUAGUCAGCGAUCUAGAUCAUUUACUUUGAAAAAAUUAGAGUGUUUAAAGCAGGCUUGCGCUAUGAAUACAUUAGCAUGGAAUAAUAAUUUAGGACUUUGCUCCUAUUUUAUUGGUUUCUAGGGGUGAAGUA
rnacentral:rRNA from 1 species